AAGGAUAAUCGCUGAAAGCAUAUAAGCGAGAAGCCAACCCCAAGAUGAGUUCUCCCUGAAGACCCGUGGUAGAUCACCACGUUGAUAGGCUGGAUGUGUAAGGUUGCCGCGAGGCCCUUAGCUAACCAGUACUAAUCGGUCGUUUGACUUGACCAUAU
rnacentral:rRNA from 1 species